AUUGAACGCUGGCGGCGUGCCUAACACAUGCAAGUCGAGCGCAGCGGCGGACGGGUGAGGAAUGCCUAGGAAUCUGCCAGGUAGUGGGGGAUAACGUACGGAAACGGGCGCUAAUACCGCAUACUAGCAGAUGAGCCUAGGUCGGAUUAGCUAGUUGGUGGGGUAAAGGCCUACCAAGGCGACGAUCCUAACCGGGCCUGAGAGGAUGAUCAGUCACACUGGAACUGAGACACGGUCCAGACUCCUACGGGGGGCAGCAGUGGGGAAUAUUGGACAAUGGGCGAAAGCCUGAUCAAGCCAUGCCGCGUGUGUGAAGAAGGUUUUCGGAUUGUAAAGCACUUUAAGUUGGGAGGCGGUACCAACAUAGUAAGCAACGGCUAACUACGUGCCAGCAGCCGCGGUAAUUC
rnacentral:rRNA from 1 species